rnacentral:lncRNA from 1 species
GGAGUGGGUCCCUGUGGAGUCAGCUAGAGGAGACACAGACAGUAACUAGAGUUAGACAGACAGGUUCAUAGUCCUUAUAGGUGGUGUACAGGGAGUGGGUCCCUGUGGAGUCAGCUAGAGGAGACACAGACAGUAACUAGAGUUAGACAGACAGGUUCAUAGUCCUUAUAGGUGGUGUACAGGGAGUGGGUCCCUGUGGAGUCAGCUGGAGGAGAGACAGACAGUAGAGUUAGACAGACAGUAGAGUUAGACAGACAGGUUCAUAGUCCUUAUAGGUGGUAUAGAGGGAGUGGGUCCCUGUGGAGUCAGCUGGAGGAGAGACAGACA